CCAAGAGAAAUAACAAUUAUGUUCACACAAACACCCGUACGUGAAUGUUUAUGACGGCUUUAUUUAUAACCUCCAAAAACUGAAAUAUUCUUCAACCAGCAAACAGAUAAAUACUUACAGUCAGGCGGGCGCAGUGGCUCACGCCUGUAAUCCCAGCACUUUGGGAGGCAGAGGCAGGCGGAUUACUUGAGGUCAGGAGUUUGAGACCAGCCUGGCCAACAUUGCAAAACCCCCUCUCUACUAAAAAUUAGCCGGGCGUGGUGGCGGGGUGAGAUCAACUGCAAAGGAGCAGCUGAGAGAAUUCGGGAGGCUUGAUGAACCUUUUAUGUGCCAUUAUUGUGGUGGUGCAUACAUGCCUCUUAGCAUUUGUCAAGACAGAACUGUAUCACAAGAGUGAAUUUUACUGCAUGUAAAUUUUAAACAAAUAAAUAAGUUGAUUAAUCACACUCUAGACAAACCUCCACCCUGAAUGUGGAAGCAAGACUCCACUACAGAUCAAAGUUCACCUCAAGUAUUCUUAAGGCUUCCUUCUGAGGUACAUGGGAGACAAAUUUUAUUUUCACUUUGCAACUAAGAAGCAGCAUAAACAGACUGCAAGUUUCUUGUACUAAUCAAACAGGCUGAGCAGCUAUCACUAUAUCCCUAGCUUUUGUAGUCCACUCACUCUCCAUCAUGAUACUAGGUCCCCACGGUAGUAACAUUCUUUAAAAUCAAACUAAACUACCUGUUUACAUUAUCUCAUAAACGAGAAGAGUCAAGGUAAGUAUUUUAGAAGAAGACUGGAAGUGUGUGCACAGACAAGAAUAAAUUACUUUAAAUAUAUAUUUAAACACACACACUUCACACACAAAAUUAACCCUCACUUUGGCCUGGGAAAUUCAUUUCACAAAGGAGUCUAAUUUCUAGCGGGUGUUUAAAAUAAACAAGCGCAUAAUGCAAAAACAGAUGGAAACACUAAAAAUGAGGCUCUCACUAAGGCAGAAUACCACACUAAACGGACACAAGGAAAGCUCGGUCCUUCACCACCUAGGCAGCGUAGGGCCCUGUUCAGCCCGGUCUUUUGCAGGUCUGAGACGUUGCACCGCACGCCCUGGUUUUUCUUUAAAAUUCGGCAAUUCACUCUGACCCACAUAUCCUAAAGUCUUGAAAAUGUUACACAUUCCUAGGUCAGGCUGUUAACUGCAACCACACAAGCAACUGUUUGAGUUACUUUGCACUUGAGUUUCCUUUUUGUUAUCCGCCGAACCCAGGCGAGAGAGAGCCGGCGUCCGGGUCCUAGGGCCGGAAGGGGGAGAGCAGAAAGCACCACGGGUGAAGCCAGGAAUUGAGGCUGGGGAAGCAAGGAAGCGGGCGUCCCCGGUCACAGCGCCCUGCCUUCACGUGCGAGGCAGCAUGCAACACGCGGGGGAUUUCUGGGGCCUUCGUCAUAAACCCAGGGGGGCAAAGGACAGGGAUGGGACCCAGCCCAGGAAGGCGUCGUCUCGCCUCCUCGCCCCGCGCGGCUAAAGCCGGACCGUGCGGGGCCAGGGGUAGAGAACGGCCCCUCGCCGGGACUUGAACGCCAGACCCACGGAGCCCACGGCAAGUCCGCUCCGCUCGGAAAAUAUAGACCUUUUCAUCCCGCACUCAUGACCCUCUCCUUUCCCCCAAAAUAUAAACAACUCGAGGGCGGAGGCCAGGGAACUGCCGCCCGGCUUUACGUAACUUGACCCACAGGCGGGCGGCGGCAGGUGGCUGCACCCGGCGAGCAAGGUGCUCGAAGCCCCGAGAACGCAGGACGCCGCUCGGGCAGCGAGACGGCCGGGAAGCACGAGAGGCCGGGGAGCGGCGGCGGCGGCCUCCUUACCUUUCCAGAUGCCCAGAGAGAGCUGGGACGUGUCCAAGUCCACCACAUAGUCCCCCAAGAACCGGUUCAACACGUCCACGACCACCGACUCGAAAACCAUGUUCCUCAGCCGUGGUGGGCACGGCAGCCGGCCCGUGCGCUCCUCCUCCCGCCGCCUUCCCCACGCCCCUCCCUCGAGAGUAACACGCUUCCCUGCAGAUAAGAGUUGGAGUCAGCCGGUCUGGAAACUGCUGAACACCCUCCAAGAAAUACUGGGAGUGCUGGACCCUUGACCCCUAUGCCUCCACCGAACCACUGACCUAAAAUAAAUU
rnacentral:lncRNA from 10 species